UCUGUUUUCCCCUGUUUUUCUCUGUUUUGUUUCUUGAAUAAUUUGCUCUGCUGAAUCCAUUGGAUGUGGCUGAGAUUUCUUUUGUAAAAGCUUUUCAAGAUUUGAAAGAUGUUUUUUUGUCAUCUCUGUUGUAGAAGUUGGUGGUGUUGCUACUGUUUUUAAUACAUUUACAGCAGUAGCUCUAGGUAUAGGGUUUAAUGGAGAUGAUCCAUUACAGUACUUGAAACUGGAUCGCCGUGCCUGAAAAAAAUGAACAUUAGUUGCCGCUGCCACCUGCAUGAUUUUUUUAGAGAGAGAAAGAGGAGAAAAGUUGUGUUAUUUUAGAAAGAGAGAAAGUCAAUGAGUUAAAAUCAGCUGGGGCGGAGGAGGAGGAGGAGGAGGCUACAGCUGUUG
rnacentral:lncRNA from 1 species